rnacentral:rRNA from 1 species
UGGGGAAUUUUGGACAAUGGGCGAAAGCCUGAUCCAGCAAUGCCGCGUGUGUGAAGAAGGCCUUCGGGUUGUAAAGCACUUUUGUCCGGAAAGAAAUCCUUGGCUCUAAUACAGUCGGGGGAUGACGGUACCGGAAGAAUAAGCACCGGCUAACUACGUGCCAGCAGCCGCGGUAAUACGUAGGGUGCAAGCGUUAAUCGGAAUUACUGGGCGUAAAGCGUGCGCAGGCGGUUUGCUAAGACCGAUGUGAAAUCCCGGGCUCAACCUGGGAACUGCAUUGGUGACUGGCAGGCUAGAGUAUGGCAGAGGGGGGUAGAAUUCCACGUGUAGCAGUGAAAUGCGUAGAGAUGUGGAGGAAUACCGAUGGCGAAGGCAGCCCCCUGGGCAAUACUGACGCUCAUGCACGAAAGCGUGGGGAGCAAACAGGAUUAGAUACCCUGGUAGUCCACGCCCUAAACGAUGUCAACUAGUUGUUGGGGAUUCAUUUCCUUAGUAACGUAGCUAACGCGUGAAGUUGACCG